UGGAAAAAUGGGAAUUACCAC
ensembl:piRNA 21ur-6395 ncRNA